UGACAUUUUAUUUUAAAAUAAAUAAAAAGAAAGUAUCAUAUAUUACAAUAACUAACAACUUAAACGGUAUAAAAUAAGAAAAUAGACACAUAAAUUAAGACAAAAAAUAACAUAUAUUAAGCGCGUAGGAUCAGUCAAAGAAUUCUCCAAUUUGUUCUUCCACUUCAAUUUCCUCUUAUCUAUAUUUAACACCUUUCUCCGUUUUAAUAAUGUCUUGCUUUCCUUUUAAUUAUGCUAUAUUUUAUAUUUAAAAAUUACUAAAAAAUAAUAUAAAUCACAAAAAUAACAUGUUAGAAUAGGUGCGUCCACUAACAGUCAAUGGACCAGGUCCUUUGACACAGUAAGAACAUAUUGUAAGCCAAGAAAGUAGUCAACAUCUACUAUACGUCAACAGACCAGGUUCCUUGACUCAACAAGAACAAUAGCUAAAACAAAUGCAGAAAGUAAAUGGAUAAAAUUUGCAGAAUCAUUUUACGUGGAAACCUCCUUACUCAAAGGAAUAAAACCACGACCUGUUGUAAAGGAUUUUCAACCGUCUUCACUAAUCUUCUCAAGCAAAAGUGAAAUCCGGUUACAACCAAUGUGAGAAAAAUUUAUUAAUCUCACGAUAAAGUAAUCUACCCAUUACUUCAAGAGCCUAAGCGGAUACAACACCGCCCACUAAGCUAUCACCCCUAGAUAACUUAGACUUUGCUAAGUGGAUACCACACCGCCCACUAAACCAUCUAACUCUAAAUGACUUAGAAUUUGACUAAGCAACAAAACAAUGUUGCCCACUAAAUCAGUUAACCUGACUUUCAACAAACCAAAACAAUCUGAUUCCUUUAUAAAUUAGGAUCAGAUUUACAACGUAAGCACAUAACAUACUAAGCUCUAAAUACAACAAGACUCUUUAUCACUCCAUCUGGUUCCUUGUUGAUGAGCAGUGUUCUUCCUUGAAGAUGGCCUUCACUUUUCAAGCUUAUGAAUUUUUAGAGAAAAUUCAAGUUUAGUUUGUCAAGUCUUAAAUUUGUGUUUGCUGGAAAGAGAUAAUAUAAACCACCACAAAUUGGUUGAGAAAAUCCAAUUGGCUGAAGGCCUGCAGUUCAGAAAAGUUGUGUACCUGCCUCAUCAGAUAUGACAGCUUUUCUGACAGCUGUCUCAUCACAUUUUCACGUCGCAGUCUUGCGGGGACCAUAUCCCUUGCAAACUUCUUUGUGAGUUCUUGAAAAGUCUUGUUGGCUGACUUUCUUCUUUGGAUGAAUAAUGGUGUUUGUCAUGCUAAAAAUAUCAAACAUAAAGAGUUAUUACCCGUUGAAAAAACACCCUCCUCCAUUAUGAUUGGUGUAGUACGCUGACACUUCACUAACCUUUUGACGCGGACUACUUUUACAGCUAUACUCCAUUAUGCUCCUGAUGGAGAAAACUCUGCGAGGGAUCAAACUCCUGCAUUUGUGAGAUACUUAAAUAUACAAUCUUGUCUGCUUUUCCUAUUGGUGUAGGACAUUGCACUUUUCACCUAUCACCUGACAUGACAGCUUUACAGUUGUACCCCAUUUAUAUCUGGACGAGAACACUCUGCCAGAGACCAGGUUCCUGCAUUUGUGAAGAUCAUCAAAACACUUAAAAUAUAACACAAUAUAAAUUAUUGAAAAAAAAUAUAUUAAAACUUUGGUUUUCCUCCAAAAAUUUGCAUUUACAUAAAUUGGGAUAUGGACAUAAAUAUAUAUUACUUACAAGUUAUAUAAAUGUACUAUAAAACAAAAUAGUGGACCCAACUGAUUUUGAUCAUGAUAUCACAUGAUACAUAUAUAUUAGUUAUAAGUUGUACAAAUGUACUAUAAAACAAAAUAAUG
rnacentral:lncRNA from 1 species